UAUUCAGUUUAUUAUAUAGCUUAGAUUCAUUUUAACUCUGUACACAAAAUAUAAAGUACUUUCCUUUGUGCAUCUACAACACAUGAAAACUUACACAUAGGACUUCCCACCAGUGAUACAAAGCUGAGGCUGCUUAGAAAUACUUUGGUUUGACAAGUAUGCAGGAUGAACACGUAUUAUUGACUCUCACACAGGUUACUCGGCUUUUCAUCUCUCUCUCUCCUCUCAGACACAAUCAAUAACAGGCUACUCUUUGCUUGCUUGCUUGUCUCUCUUCUCUUGCACUCUCACACUAGGUAACUCAUCCCUCACACACAGGUUACUCUCUGCUUUCCAUAUCUCUCUCUCUCUCUCUCUCUCUCUCUCUCUCUCUCUCAGACACAAUCAAUAACAGGCUACUCUUUGCUUACUUUCUUGUCCCUCUUCUCUUACACUCUCACACUAGCUAACUCAUCCCUUACACACAGGUUACUCUCUGUCUCCCUUCUUAUCUCUCCUCUUACAUUCACUGGCUAACUCAUCCUUCACACACAGGUUACUCUCUGCCUUUCUCUGCCUUCUUUUCCCAUAUUUUUCCUCUGAGACGCUCAACAUACUGGCUAACUCAUCCCUCGUACACAGUCUACUUUCCGCCUUCCUUCUCAUCUCUCUCCUCUUACACACUCAACACUGGCUAACUCAUUCCUUACACAGGUUACUUUCUGCCUCCUUUCUCAUCUCCCUCCUCUCAGACACUGACACUGGCUAACACAUUUCUCACUGGUUACUCUCUUCCUUCCUUCUCAUCUCCCUCCUCUCACACAUGUAUUAACACACUGGUUGCCUUUCACCACACUCCACUACAGACACAUGUAAAGAGAAUCAGCCUAAAGUUAUAGUUACACAGGCUUAAUAACUCAAUUUGUAUCCAGUUUGCCUUCAUUCUAACCCAAGACUUCUCUCAUAUCACACUGUCAUUGGAACUUUAUAUGAUGGAGAUGGAGAAAAAAACUGCAUGGUGUGUUUUGCUGAGUCUCUAUAACUAUUCUCAGAUUCUUCUCUGGUUUCCUAUGCAGUGUAGAUAUGGAAAAAUGGACUGUACAUGGUGUCAAGGUUCUGUAGUCACCAUGUUCCAGAUUAGCACCAGAAUUCUUUACCUGGCCCUUCCUCAAGUUAUUUCAUGGUAACUCAUCCAUACAUAUAAUUUCCUUCUCAUUCCUCUCAAGAUUAUUAUCUAUUUUUAUAUUUACGUGACUUUCCUGCAACUCUCAUACCUCUCUGUCCAAUAUAUUAUCUGCCCAAGCUUCAUAAUACUCAAUAAACAUACUUGGAACAAUAUUUCAUACAAGGGUUGGUAUAUUCAAGUCUGGUUGCUUCUCACAGCUUCCCUUAUUUCCUUACACUAUUUUCUGUGAACGUGAAGACUCUCGCACCUUAUCCAUAGCUAAUAUUAUGCCUCUGUUGGUCCAGGCUUGAAAAUAUCCACCAAAUUAAACUAUGACAGUCUUGGCAUCUCAUGGAACCACUUAAAAAUGAUAUCAACCUUUAAUUUCUUGCCCGUUUUAUAUAUUUCUAUUAACUAAUACAACAACUGAAUGCAUAGAACCUUCAAGAAUAAUAGUAAAUGGACAGAUUGGGAAUAUUGAGGUGAGGGAAAGCAAUAUACCAUUAGAAUUAACACUACGGGUAGGUAGACAUGAUAAUAUAUGGAAAAAAUACUAAUAUUUUAACGUGUGUGAGGAGAACAGUUGAAAUAAAAAACAUAUAUAAAGUGUAUUUAACGAGAAUAAGGCAAAUUACAUGCGGAAAAUUGAAAGAAAAUUAAGUGCGGUGUUUCAAACGCAAGAGAGUUCCGCGCCUUAGAUAAUACUUUAACGUGUGUGAGGAGAACAGUUGAAAUAAAAGACAUAUUCAAAGUGUAUAUAACGAGAAUAAGGCAAAUUGCACGCAGGAAAUUGAAAGAAAAUUAAGGGGUAUUUCAAACGCAAGGGAGUUCCCCGCCUUAUGUCAGACGAGGUGACGAGCAGACGGAACACGGGCAAGCUGGCGGGCACUGCUUGUAUAAUCUUCUUUUUUACGUAAUUCAGUGUUGAUAAUAUGUUGUGCGUGUGUGUGAAGAGUGAUAGUGUAUCCAUGGUGCUCCUGUGGAAAUUCCCGCCGUGUAUGGUGAGUAUAAGAUGGUGAAAUGAGGGAAAGUAGUGAGGCAGAGGGGUGGUAUACUGUCGGCCGCUGAGUAGGUGUGUAUGUACUGGGUAGUUUCUUGUUGUUUAAUGAAGGUACAAGAACUCAGGGUCAGCAAGGAGGGCUAGGGGACACACAGGGAGGGUGGUAGGAGGGAGUGGGAGAGACGUUAAAUAGAUAACGAUAAAAUUUAGCUUGAGAGAAGAUUAGCGAACAACCCGCGCGCUUGUUAAUAGUUGGAUCUUUAAACACGUGCGUAUACCUCCCCUUUUCCUCCUCCCCCCUCCCCACCCUACACACUUAAUAUUUACCUUGUUUGUGUAUUUCAUGGAUCUGUAUUGCGAAAACUAUUUUUUUGUAGUGUGUGUGUGUGUGUGUGUGUGUGUGUGUGUGUGUGUGUGUGUGUGUGUGUGUGUGUGUGUGUGUGUGUGUGUGUGUGUGUGUGUGUGUGUGUGUGUGUGUGUGUGUGUGUGUGUGUGACAGGUGAGAGAUAUUGAUUGCUACAGGUAAUAUUGGAAUGCGGAACUGGGAUUGUAUGGAAUGAGAGAGAGAGAGAGAGAGAGAGAGAGAGAGAGAGAGAGAGAGAGAGAGAGAGAGAGAGAGAGAGAGCCUAACCUUAUCUGUAUCUUCACCACCACCACCACCACUACCACUACCACCACCACCACCACCCCCAUAGGCCUUAAAUAUUUUCCCAGAGGCACACCAGACUACAAUUUUCACUCUCACAAUCUCACUAUUGCUAAGAGAGAGAGAGAGAGAGAGAGAGAGAGAGAGAGAGAGAGAGAGAGAGAGAGAGAGAGAGAG